GAUGAACGCUGGCGGCGUGCCUAAUACAUGCAAGUCGAGCGAAUGGAUUAAGAGCUUGCUCUUAUGAAGUUAGCGGCGGACGGGUGAGUAACACGUGGGUAACCUGCCCAUAAGACUGGGAUAACUCCGGGAAACCGGGGCUAAUACCGGAUAACAUUUUGAACCGCAUGGUUCGAAAUUGAAAGGCGGCUUCGGCUGUCACUUAUGGAUGGACCCGCGUCGCAGUUAGCUAGUUGGUGAGGUAACGGCUCACCAAGGCAACGAUGCGUAGCCGACCUGGGAGGGUGAUCGGCCACACUGGGACUGAGACACGGCCCAGAAGCCUACGGGAGGCAGCAGUAGGGAAUCUUCCGCAAUGGACGAAAGUCUGACGGAGCAACGCCGCGUGAGUGAGGAAGGCUUUCGGGUCGUAAAACUCUGUUGUUAGGGAAGAACAAGUGCUAGUUGAAUAAGCUGGCACCUUGACGGUACCUAACCAGAAAGCCACGGCUAACUACGUGCCAGCCGCCGCAGUAA
rnacentral:rRNA from 1 species